rnacentral:rRNA from 1 species
UACGAAGGGUGCAAACGUUGCUCGGAAUUAUUGGGCGUAAAGCGCACGUAGGCGGCAUUGCAAGUCGGAUGUGAAAUCUUAUGGCUUAACCAUAAAAGUGCAUCCGAAACUGCAGUGCUUGAGUACUUAAGAGGAUCGCGGAAUUCCCGGUGUAGAGGUGAAAUUCGUAGAUAUCGGGAGGAACACCAGUGGCGAAGGCGGCGAUCUGGGAAGAUACUGACGCUGAGGUGCGAAAGCAUGGGGAGCGAACAGG